rnacentral:lncRNA from 1 species
GCAGGGGGACACAUAUCUGGCUGUCCCUCAGGUUGUGGCAGGAGGACACAUAUCUGGCUGUCCCUCAGGUUGUGGCAGGGGGACACAUAUCUGGCUGUCCCUCAGGUUGAGGCAGGAGGACACAUAUCUGGCUGUCCCUCAGGUUGUGGCAGGAGGACACAUAUCUGUCUGUCCCUCAGGUUGAGGCAGGAGGACACAUAUCUGGCUGUCCCUCAGGUUGUGGCAGGAGGACACAUAUCUGGCUGUCCCUCAGGUUGUGGCAGGAGGACACAUAUCUGUCUGUCCCUCAGGUUGAGGCAGGAGGACACAUAUCUGGCUGUCCCUCAGGUUGAGGCAGGAGGACACAUAUCUGGCUGUCCCUCAGGUUGUGGCAGGAGGACACAUAUCUGUCUGUCCCUCAGGUU